rnacentral:rRNA from 1 species
UACGUAGGUGGCAAGCGUUGUCCGGAAUUAUUGGGCGUAAAGCGCGCGCAGGUGGUUUCUUAAGUCUGAUGUGAAAGCCCACGGCUCAACCGUGGAGGGUCAUUGGAAACUGGUGAACUUGAGUGCAGAAGAGGAAAGUGGAAUUCCAAGUGUAGCGGUGAAAUGCGUAGAGAUUUGGAGGAACACCAGUGGCGAAGGCGACUUUCUGGACGGUAACUGACGCUGAGACGCGAAAGCGUGGGGAGCAAACAGG